GCACUGAACUCUGGGUGUGACAUCUGUCCCUGCCCUGAUCGCCAGGGUUGAUGCGACUGUUCUGGCUGACUAAGCAGGCGACUCCUUCCUUCCUCACGGUACAACUGCUCCCUCCCCAAGCUAAGUCAAAGAGGACGACCUUCCCCGAAUAGAGUCAGGCCUGUCUUCGGUCCCAGUAGAGCAGUUCUCCCCUGCUAGAACCUCCAAAGAAGCUCUCAAGAGAGGCUGCAGGUAAGGUACUUCAUUUUAUCAAAUUUGGUGUAGGCUUU
rnacentral:snRNA from 1 species